rnacentral:tRNA from 1 species
UGGCUCAGAGGUUAAAGUGUCUGCCUGAAAUGCGGAAGACCCGGGUUCGAUCCCUGG